GAGAGAAGGAGAGAGGGAGUGAGUGAGUGAGUGAGUGAGUGAGUGAGUGAGUGAGUGAGUGAGAUACUUGAGAGAAGUGGUAUUUUUUUUUUGUUUUUAACACUGUGACUAGACUCUAAAAGUUGAAGACGAGAGGGGGAGGAAUGGAGGAGGAGGACGAACGAAUGAAAGGAUGAAUGAACAUCGGACAGCUAAACGAGUGUAGCCUUGUCUUUUUAUACAGACUGGAUCACUGUGGUGUGUGUGUGUGUGUGUGUGUGAUUUUAUCUGUUAAUCACGUGUUUUUAGAAAUAAUGUGUGCUCACGUAAGACUGUGAAGGAACUUGCUCAAGGGGCAAAGAGGAUCAUGGGAGUUAUGAGGUCAUUUGCACCCUCUCAUUCAAAGCUGGGCCUUUAGAAUUCCCUUUCACAAAACCAAGAUGGCUGCCACUACAACAAUCACCUCAGGCAGCAUGGGUUACCUCACAUAGAAGCGUGUUCUGAGACGGAUCUAGCUACUGGAUCUGCGCUAGAUCACACACAAUAUGUUUCCCAAAACAAAGAUGGCUGCCACUACUACAGUACAGUGACCUCAGAUGGAAGCGUGUUCUAAAAUGGAAUCAUGGGGGCCGUGAGCUGAAGGUCCAUCAAAAGAUCUCAUAUCUGCUACCUGAAGCCCUUCCUCCGAGACCAGCUCCCUCCGAGACCAGCUUCCUCCGAGACCAGCUUCCUCCGAGACCAGCUUCCUCCUCGAGGUCCUCCGAGACCAGCUUCCUCCGAGACCAGCUUCCACCGAGACCAGCUUCCUCCGAGACCAACUCCCUCCGAGACCAGCUCCCUCUGAGACCAGCUUCCUCCGAGACCAGAUUCUGGGGGCCCACUGUCUGUCCUGGCUUCGGAGGCCUCUUCUCCACUUCUUAGACCUAGAACAGGUGUGAUAAAGUCACACGUCUUAGGAUUUAAAAAAAAAACAUGUAUACUUUUUUUUUCAUCAAUGUGUUUCUAUCCGUGUGCAGGAGUCUGGUGCAUAGACCAUUUGAGGGUUAGUUGUGCAGGGUCUGAUCAACGUGAGAUUUCACAUUUCAAUCCUUUCCACAGAUUUCUCCUUUCUAGUUUAGACAAUUUCAGGUUUCUACUUUAAAGCUGUGAUGUUUUUAAUGACAGAUUUCCUUUCUGAUGUUUGACAUAGACCUGGUUUGCCUUAAAAUGGUAGUUUAUAUCAAGAAAAAAACAAAUGUCAUUUCAUAGAAUCACAUCCUGUUUAUCGGCCAAUGGAACAGCAGCUGUGAGGGCCAGCUUUGAUGUUAUCCUCAUGACAUCAUAGUAGAGAGACUUUCAGUGAGUGGAACUUAAUGGAAUACUCUUUAUGACAUCACAAUGUAAUGACACAGAAGGUGGAAGAGAAAAGAACAGAAUGAGAACCCCACCGCUUCUACAAGCUAAGUCAAAUGAAAUGAACUUCUUAUCGAAGAAGCUCGAUGUUUUCAGAUGUCGUGCCAAGGGGAGGUUUCUGCUCAUACUCUCUCCAGAAUUGCAAACGUGGAUGUCGCUGUCCAUUGGAACACUAAUGGAAGACCAAUCCAACAAUCGCUAAGGACUUUGCAGAAUUUGCUCACACCUGAGAAGGACCUGGAGGAGUGAACUUUGUCACACUCACUCUCUCACACACACACACACACACACACACAGACACACACACACAGAGAGAGAGAGAGAGAGAGAAACCUUUAUUAUAUACACUGCGACUCCCUGUUUGACAGUGGGUAGGAUGGGUCCAGGUGAGAUCAUGCCUUAAUUAUGUAACCCCUCACUUCCCGAGGGGCCAUUUUGUUUUGGUUUGUUUAUUUUCAUUUUCAUUUCUUUGAUGUUUCUGAUAUUCUGUUAAGGGGCCGGGGGAGUCCUACUGUUCCCUUCGUUUCUGUUGCUAUACCAACCUGUGGAAGACAAAAGAUGGGUCCUACCCCCCUGUGUGUGUGUGUCUGUGUGUGUCUGUGUGUGUGUGUGUGUGUGUCUGUGUGUGUCUGUGUGUGUGCGUGUGUCUGUGUGUGUGUCUGUGUGUGUGUGUCUGUGUGUGUGUGUGUGUGUGUGUGUGUCUGUCUGUGUGUCUGUCUCUGUGUGUGUGUGUGUGUGUCUGUGUGUGUCUGUGUGUGUGUGUGUGUCUGUCUGUGUGUCUGUGUGUGUGUGUUUGUGUGUGUGUGUGUCUGUGUGUGUGCGUGUCUGUGUGUGUGAGUGUGUGUGUGUGUGUGUGUGUGUGUGUCUCCCCCUGCCUGUGACUGCGCCCGACCACUAUCACCAGUUCUUUGUGAACACCAGGCCAGACGAGCGUAAAUGAAGUGCUUCUGUACCCGUGUGUGUGUGUGUGUGUGUGUGUGUGUGUGUGUGUGUGUGUGUGCUUCUGUACCCGUGUACUGUUUAGUUUGAAUUAUUACUGUUGUCAGUUUCCUCCAUUUGCGUAAAGGACGUGUGUGUGUGUGUGUGUGUGAGUGAGUUUAGUCUUUGGUUUUAGUUUAAAAAGAAAAGAAAGGAAAACAUAUAUGUAUGUAUGUAUGUAUGUAUGUAUGUAUGUAUGUAUGUAUGUAUGUAUGUAUGUAUGUAUGUAUGUAUGUAUGUGUGUGUGUGAUCUCGUCCAUGUUAUGUAUGUAUGUGAUCUCGUCCAUGUUAUGUAUGUAUGUGAUCUCGUCCAUGUUGACUAAGGGCUCCUGUUUAAAGAGUUAGACUGAGCAGACCAGGGGAGGGUUUGUUUAUCAUUGGAGUGGUGCAGAGGCUAGAGUGACAUGAUAAACUUUUACAAGAAACAGCUGUGUGUGUGUGUGUUUAAUUGUUGUUCUUAUAUUUAGUAUUUUAGUUUUCCACAGUGGCAAGGGUGGGGUGGUGAAAAGAACAACAACAACAACAACAACAACAAACAAACAACAAACACAGUGAGGGGUUUUGUAGAACCGUUGUGGAAAUGAAGAUCAAGUGAAAAGAAAAGAUGGUUUAUGCUGUGACACUAGGGGGGGUGGAAGAACAGCACAGAACGUCCUGGUUCCAACACAGAACUUCCUGGUUCCAACACAGAACUUCCUGGUUCUUGGAGAAUUUCAGCACCAAAGAACACCUCAGGUUUUAAAGAAUCCAGGAAGAGCUUCAGAAUGCUCAAGAACCCAACCCAACGAACCUAAUGGUGGUUGCCAUGUUAUGGUUAUAGCAUUUAGCAGACGCUUUUGUCCAAAGCGACUUACAAAACAUUUAAAAAAGACAUUAGACAACAGAAUUUUUAAAGGGCAGCAAUAGAAAUAAACCUAAUGAAUGAUAAUUCACAAUUAGGCACCAAUUCAUGAUAUUAAUUAUAAUUACAAUACCAAAACUGUGACUAGAGUAGGCCUCAAGCAAAUUAGUUAAUUAGACACACAGGCCAUCACAUACGUAAGACACACACACACACACAGACACACAGGCC
ensembl:lncRNA